UGAAAUUCUAAAUGAAUUCUCAAGGUUUUAGGUCUUUAGAUCUAAGGUCAUACUAACAUUGGACCUUAUAAAAUUGUAAAAUACUUUAUCAUAACACACGAAUUGUCACAGGAAUGUUGGUCCUUGGGCUGCAUAUUAAGGAAGGAUAAUUGUGCUGUUACCUUAGUUAAAAUGCAGAUGUAUGUUCCAUGCUUUUAGUUUUAUGUAGUAAGGCUGUGGAGCAUUCAUAGAAAACUAUGAGCUUAUAAAAGGCAGUUAAAUGCAUAAUGGUAUGUGCCUGUAGUACCAGCCACUUGGGAAGCCAAGGUGGGAGGUUCGAUUGAGCCCAGGAAUUCAAGGCUGCAGUGAGCAAUGAUAACACCACUGCACUCCAGCCUGGGCAACAGAGCUGUCUCUAAAAUAAUAACAAUAUACAGUAAUAAAAUAAAAAGUGGUUAGAAUAUAAGCCAUUUUUAAGAAAUAAAAAAAGGAAAUUCUGAUAAAUGCAGAAUAUUUUAGUCCCAUAAUGUUUUGAUUUCAUGAAUUAUUAAAGAGAUGCAAUAAAUUGGCUAAAACAUUUGUAAUAGUGUUAUGUGCAGUAACAUUUAGCACAGUGCCUAAGGCAACACACAUCUCAACUGAUUUGUUUUAUACACUGAAUAAAUCAUAACUUCAUUCUUCAAAUUUUAUAAAGCAGAACAAAUUGGCAUAUAAAAGAAGAAGCACAGAAAUCCAAAUAACAUGCAGGAGGACACUACAACUUUUCUUAAAUAAUUUUUAUUAGCAUUUCAUUUUUUCACUCAAGAAUAUUGUAUUUUACAGCUAUAAUAUCACACUGGUAGAGAGAGGCUGCAGUGAGUCAUUGAAACUCUUUGGAAGUUCAGAGCGUUACAUAGUGGUGACAAUUGAUGAACACACUGCUAUAAUUUUGCAGGAUAUAGAAGAAUUAAAUUGUGAGAAGGCAUCAGACAAUAUUAUUAUGAGGCUGAUGGCAUUAUCAUUCCAGUACAGAUAUUGUUGGAUAAUUUUAUAUACCAAAGAAACAUUAAAUUCAGAUUUGCUUUAAGUCAAGAAUUCUCAAGCUGGAGGUAUCCGCUUACAGAAAAGACACUUCAUCACCUAGCACUGAUUUAUGCAGCUUUGGUGUCAUUUAGGCUAAACUCUGAAGAACUGGAUGUAAAGCUUAUAAUUGCCCCAGGAGUAGAAGCAACUGCCUUGAUAAUUCGACAGAUUGCUGACCACAAUUUAAUGACCUCAAAGAGAGAUCCUCAUGAAUGGUUGGAUAAAUCCUGGCUUGAAGUUUCACCGUCUGAGGUAUAUUUUCUAAAUGUAUAAAUUAGAUAUUAGCAAAGCAAGUAUAAAACCCUGUAUUUGAAUUUACUUUCUGGUAACAAUUUUUCCCCAAAUGUCUCAAAUUGAGUGGUAGGUGCAAUGACAACAUUUUUAAUCUGCUGCAAUGAGUAGAAUAAAAUGG
rnacentral:lncRNA from 1 species